AGUAUCAAAGGUAAAGUGAGGGGAGCGGCGAACGGCUGAGUAACACGUUGGUAACUACCUCGCACUCAGGGAUAACAUUUAGAAAUAGAUGCUAAUACCGGAUGGUCCCGAAAGGGUAAAGAUUUUUCGGUGCGAGAGGUGCCUGCGGCCUAUCAGUUUGUUGGUGAGGUAAUGGCUCACCAAGACUAUGACGGGUAGCUGGUCUGAGAGGAUGACCAGUCAGAAUGGGACUGAGACACGGCCCAUACUCC
rnacentral:rRNA from 1 species